GAGAGUGCAGGCGGUUUUCUAAGUCUGAUGUGAAAGCCUUCGGCUUAACCGGAGAAGUGCAUCGGAAACUGGAUAACUUGAGUGCAGAAGAGGGUAGUGGAACUCCCAUGUGUAGCGGUGGAAUGCGUAGAUAUAUGGAAGAACACCAGUGGCGAAGGCGGCUACCUGGUCUGCAACUGACGCUGAGACUCGAAAGCAUGGGUACGCGAACAGGAUUAGAUACCCUGGUAG
rnacentral:rRNA from 1 species